ACGAACGCUGGCGGCACGCUUAACACAUGCAAGUCGAACGAGAGAAGAGAAGCUUGCUUUUCUGAUCUAGUGGCGGACGGGUGAGUAACACGUGAGCAAUCUGCCUUUCAGAGGGGGAUACCGAUUGGAAACGAUCGUUAAUACCGCAUAACAUAAUUGAACCGCAUGAUUUGAUUAUCAAAGAUUUAUCGCUGAAAGAUGAGCUCGCGUCUGAUUAGCUAGUUGGUAAGGUAACGGCUUACCAAGGCGACGAUCAGUAGCCGGACUGAGAGGUUGAUCGGCCACAUUGGGACUGAGACACGGCCCAGACUCCUACGGGAGGCAGCAGUGGGGAAUAUUGCACAAUGGAGGAAACUCUGAUGCAGCGAUGCCGCGUGAGGGAAGAAGGUUUUAGGAUUGUAAACCUCUGUCUUCAGGGACGAAAAAUGACGGUACCUGAGGAGGAAGCUCCGGCUAACUACGUGCCAGCAGCCGCGGUAAUACGUAGGGAGCGAGCGUUGUCCGGAAUUACUGGGUGUAAAGGGAGCGUAGGCGGGAUCGCAAGUCAGAUGUGAAAACUAUGGGCUUAACCCAUAAACUGCAUUUGAAACUGUGGUUCUUGAGUGAAGUAGAGGUAAGCGGAAUUCCUAGUGUAGCGGUGAAAUGCGUAGAUAUUAGGAGGAACAUCAGUGGCGAAGGCGGCUUACUGGGCUUUAACUGACGCUGGGGCUCGAAAGCGUGGGGAGCAAACAGGAUUAGAUACCCUGGUAGUCCACGCCGUAAACGAUGAUUACUAGGUGUGGGGGGACUGACCCCUUCCGUGCCGCAGCAAACGCAAUAAGUAAUCCACCUGGGGAGUACGACCGCAAGGUUGAAACUCAAAGGAAUUGACGGGGGCCCGCACAAGCAGUGGAGUAUGUGGAUUAAUUCGAAGCAACGCGAAGAACCUUACCUGGUCUUGACAUCCUUCUGACCGGUCCUUAAUCGGACCUUUCCUUCGGGACAGGAGUGACAGGUGGUGCAUGGUUGUCGUCAGCUCGUGUCGUGAGAUGUUGGGUUAAGUCCCGCAACGAGCGCAACCCUUACUGUUAGUUGCUACGCAAGAGCACUCUAGCAGGACUGCCGUUGACAAAACGGAGGAAGGUGGGGAUGACGUCAAAUCAUCAUGCCCCUUAUGACCUGGGCCUCACACGUACUACAAUGGCUGUCAACAGAGGGAAGCAAAGCCGCGAGGUGGAGCAAACCCCUAAAAGCAGUCUUAGUUCGGAUUGUAGGCUGCAACCCGCCUACAUGAAGUCGGAAUUGCUAGUAAUCGCAGAUCAGCAUGCUGCGGUGAAUACGUUCCCGGGCCUUGUACACACCGCCCGUCACGCCAUGGGAGUCGGUAACACCCGAAGCCUGUAGUCUAACCGCAAGGAGGACGCAGUCGAAGGUGGGAUUGAUGACUGGGGUG
rnacentral:rRNA from 1 species